UUUUCCGUAGGUGACCUGCGGAGGAUCAUUA
rnacentral:rRNA from 1 species